rnacentral:rRNA from 1 species
CCGUACGUGAACCUGCGGAAGGAUCAUUG